rnacentral:piRNA from 1 species
UGGGAACUUAAUUAAAGCUUGCAUGGGAC